rnacentral:rRNA from 1 species
UACAUGGGGUGCAAACGUUGCUCGGAAUUAUUGGGCGUAAAGGGCGCGUAGGCGGUGCGGUAAGUCUGUAGUGAAAUCUCUGGGCUCAACUCAGAGUCUGCUGCAGAAACUGCCGUGCUUGAGUGUGGGAGAGGUGAGUGGAAUUCCCGGUGUAGAGGUGAAAUUCGUAGAUAUCGGGAGGAACACCAGUGGCGAAGGCGGCGCCUGGGCCAAUAUUGACGCUGAGGUGGCGAAAAGCG